UAGUGGUUUAAGUUGAAGGUUGUG
rnacentral:piRNA from 1 species